rnacentral:lncRNA from 1 species
UUUACAUGAACGAGAAGGGAUAACAUGGCGUCUGUACUAUUUUUUUACAUUUUAGAUCCAAUUUGUCUUCUUUUCUAUGAACAAAGGCUCAGUUUACUUUAGGAGUGCUAUUUAUAUCCUGUCGACUACUCAUCAUUCAUUCAUCCAUACUGUGUCCCCCCCAUGAUUGCAGAUGUAUGGUGACUCCACGUUGGAAUGAACGGACCAAUGGGACUGCCAUGGGCAAUUCCCUUGACGGGUACCAGGAAUGGUGGAAAGACGAUCUGAAGGUCCCUGAAACUCCACGUGAUGUGGAAGUUGUCGAACCAGAUCAGAACGCCUUCGAAGAUCACCUUCAGACACGGACUGAGAAGGAUGUGGAUGUUUUUGACCAGGUGAGACUGAACAUGGGCAGGGUGCAUGAGAAGGAGAGCCACCUGAGAAGAAUCAAGGGGACCAAGUGCUUCGACAUCUGGGUGAAUGACUUUGCGUAGAAGAAGGACGAAAGGAAGGCGAGACCCGGGAAAGCUUGGUGCUCUUUCGCUACUAGCUGGGGUCAACAUCUGUUAAGAAGAAUAUAAAAAUCUCAGAUAACUAUUUGCAUUUGCUGCCUCGUGGUGGGCGGCAUCGCCAUGCUGACGGCAGUACCAAUGCUGGCCCAGGGGUUUCUCCAAAUAGUCAAUCUCAAGGCUAACCACUGGGUCACGUUAAGUAACCGCCACUUCCAGAGGACCUGAGCCCUAGGACCAUGCCUCAAGACUACCUGGCCUGAUGACUCCUUGCUGUCCCCUGUCCACCUGGUCGUACUGCUGCUCCAGUUCCAACUGUUCUGCCUGCGGCUAUGGAACCCUGACCUGUUCACCGGACAUGCUACCUGUCCCAGACCUUCUGUUUUCAACUCUCUAGAGACAGCAGGAGCGGUAGAGAUACUCUGAAUGAGCGGCUAUGAAAAGCCAACUGUCAUUUACUCCUGAGGUGCUGACGUGUUGCACCCUCGACAACCACUGUGAUUAUUAUUAUUUGACCCUGCUGGUCAUCAAUGAACAUUUGAACAUCUUGGCCAUGUUCUGUUAUAAUCUCCACCCG